rnacentral:rRNA from 1 species
UACGGGGGGGGGCAAGCGUUGUUCGGAAUUACUGGGCGUAAAGGGCUCGUAGGUGGCCAACUAAGUCGGACGUGAAAUCCCUCAGCUUAACUGGGGAACUGCGUCCGAUACUGGAUGGCUCGAGUUUGGGAGAGGGAUGCGGAAUUCCAGGUGUAGCGGUGAAAUGCGUAGAUAUCGAGAGGAACACCUGCGGCGAAGGCGGGUUGCUGGGCUGAUACUGACGCUGAGGCGCGAAAGCUAGGGGAGCGAACGGG